rnacentral:rRNA from 1 species
UGAGGAAUAUUGGUCAAUGGACGAAAGUCUGAACCAGCCAUGCCGCGUGCAGGAUGACGGCUAUAUGAGUUGUAAACUGCUUUUGUAUGAGGGUAAAGUUGGGUACGUGUACCCAUUUGAAAGUAUCAUACGAAUAAGGAUCGGCUAACUCCGUGCCAGCAGCCGCGGUAAUACGGAGGGUGCAAGCGUUAUCCGGAUUUACUGGGUUUAAAGGGUGUGUAGGCGGACUUAUAAGUCAGGGGUGAAAUCUCCGAGCUCAACUCGGAAACUGCCUUUGAUACUAUUAGUCUUGAAUUAUGUUGAGGUUGGCGGAAUAUAACAUGUAGCGGUGAAAUGCAUAGAUAUGUUAUAGAACACCGAUUGCGAAGGCAGCUGGCUAAACAUAUAUUGACGCUGAGGCACGAAAGCGUGGGUAGCGAACA